rnacentral:rRNA from 1 species
UACGUAGGGGGCGAGCGUUGUCCGGAUUUAUUGGGCGUAAAGAGCUCGUAGGCGGUUUGGUAAGUCGGGUGUGAAAUCUCCACGCUCAACGUGGAGGGGCCACUCGAUACUGCCAUGACUCGAGUCCGGUAGAGGAGUGUGGAAUUCCCGGUGUAGCGGUGAAAUGCGCAGAUAUCAGGAGGAACACCUAUUGCGAAGGCAGCUCGCUGGGACGUAACUGACGCUGAGACGCGAAAGCGUGGGGAGCAAACAGG